rnacentral:rRNA from 1 species
GAUGAACGCUGGCGGCGUGCCUAAUACAUGCAAGUCGAGCGAACAGAUGAGGAGCUUGCUCCUCUGACGUUAGCGGCGGACGGGUGAGUAACACGUGGAUAACCUCCCUAUAAGACUGGGAUAACUUCGGGAAACCGGAGCUAAUACCGGAUAAUAUAUUGAACCGCAUGGUUCAAUAGUGAAAGACGGUUUUGCUGUCACUUAUCGAUGGAUCCGCGCCGCAUUAGCUAGUUGGUAAGGUAACGGCUUACCAAGGCAACGAUGCGUAGCCGACCUGAGAGGGUGAUCGGCCACACUGGAACUGAGACACGGUCCAGACUCCUACGGGAGGCAGCAGUAGGGAAUCUGCCGCAAUGGGCGAAAGCCUGACGGAGCAACGCCGCGUGAGUGAUGAAGGUCUUCGGAUCGUAAAACUCUGUUAUUAGGGAAGAACAAAUGUGUAAGUAGCUAUGCACGUCUUGACGGUACCUAAUCAGAAAGCCACGGCUAACUACGUG